UGAGAAAAAAACCAAAUGUAUUAAAUUUUGCUUGCCAAACGUACAAAAUAACGAAUGUUAUGUUGCUUUGAACGGACAAAAGUUAGAAUUUGUUAAGGAGACUGUAUUUUUGGGUAUCACAUUAGAUGACAGAUUACAAUGGGGGCCCCAUAUAAAAGCACUUUCGGGGAGACUAAGCUCAGCUGCUUAUGCAGUUAGACAGAUUAGGCAGCUAACGGACGUAGGUACGGCAAGGCUUGUUUAUUUUAGUUAUUUUCACAGCAUAAUGUCUUACGGCAUUUUGCUGUGGGGGCGAGCUGCGGAUGUAGAAUCAAUUUUUAUUUUGCAAAAGCGAGCUAUUCGAGCAAUAUAUAACUUGCCCCGUCGCGAAUCUUUGAGAGAACUAUUUAAAACUAUAAACAUUCUUACAGUGCCUUCUCAAUUCAUUUACGAAAAUAUUAUGUACGUGAGAAAAAAUCAACAAUUGUUUGAAAAAAGAAGCGACAGACACAAUUUUAAUACGAGAGGUAAAAAUAAGUUAGCUAUACCGCAAUUCCGAUUGUCCAAAGUGCAGAAAUCCUUCAUGGGAUUUUGUGUUAGGUGUUACAAUAAACUACCAACCACCAUACUGAAUCUGAACGAGAAAAAAUUUAAAUCUUGUAUAAAGCGUGAACUGUGUAAACAGGCAUAUUAUAAACUGUCAGAUUAUAUUGAAGAUAAAAAUGUGUGGCAGCAUGUUGGUCCGGCUCCACUGGACACUCGCUCACACUAGACAAUGCUCUAAUACGAUCACUAGUUACACGUUAAAUUAAAGUACUAAUUUAUUCCAAUGUAGUCUAGGGAUCCUGUGGCAUCAAACAGUUAUUUAUUUAUUUUUUAUUUGAAAAAUUAAAUUAAAGAUUAUUUUUUAUUUGUAUAGAAGCAUUAUUUCAAAAUUGUAAGUGUACAUAUGUGGGCACUAUGUUUGAAACAACCCGCUUUUUUAAUUUAUAUUCUGUUAACAACCACUAGCAACACCAGACAGAUAUAAUGUAGGAUGGAAUUAUAAUAUAAAAAGGAUAGUAUUUAAUUACUGAGUACUAUUCAUAGGAAUAAAUAUAUUAAACCUCUUUCAUCAUUUCAUAGACAAUAUAAAUUGUUUAAAAAUAAUUGUUAGCUGAAAUGGAACGUCAAAUGAUAUAUUUUAAAAAUGGCGGGAAAUAAUUAAUUCGAAUAUUGGUCGAUGAGACGGAUUAUUGUUUUAUAAUUGUUCUGUAAAUAUAAAUUGUAAUUCCUGAAAGUUAUGAAUUUCAUUUAAUCGUCUUGCAUCUUGAAAUAACACUUCAGAAGUGGGAUCUUUUCAAAUUGUCUGGACCUUACAUCGGUGGAUUGGGGAAAGGACAAAGAAAGUACAAGACAGAAAGUUCGGAAGAUGAAAACAAUGGAAUUUUUUUUUCGGAAGACCAUGAACCACGCACGAAAUGUAGCAUCUACGGUGAAAAUACAAUUUCAUGUAUAAUUCGAGAUGAGGACCAAUGCAAAGGCAUAGUUGUGAAACUCCCGAACAACUAUACUAUGGCUACAUGUCGUAACUGGAGAACCUGAUACCCGUGGGUUCAACUAGUACACGCAGAACUUCAUUGUGCCCAAUGGAACUUCGACUGUUCAACAACAGCCUAAGAUUUACUACGUUUGCCGGCGUCCUGGACACGAAGCAAAGGAUUAUAGACAACAACAGCGCUGCGAGAACUGUCGGCGCAGCGGACACAUCACGGCUACGUGCUGGUUUGCUCCGAGUUCUUCACACUUAGCGACAAAAUGUUACCCAGAAAUUUGCAUCUGCAAACGGAAAUCACAGCGAAGACCGUGGGACACGUUCUGCACAGGAUGGCCGAGUGUUAACAACCACUAGCAACACCAGACAGAUAUAAUGUAGGAUGGAAUUAUAAUAUAAAAAGGAUAGUAUUUAAUUACUGAGUACUAUUCAUAGGAAUAAAUAUAUUAAACCUCUUUCAUCAUUUCAUAGACAAUAUAAAUUGUUUAAAAAUAAUUGUUAGCUGAAAUGGAACGUCAAAUGAUAUAUUUUAAAAAUGGCGGGAAAUAAUUAAUUCGAAUAUUGGUCGAUGAGACGGAUUAUUGUUUUAUAAUUGUUCUGUAAAUAUAAAUUGUAAUUCCUGAAAGUUAUGAAUUUCAUUUAAUCGUCUUGCAUCUUGAAAUAACAAUUCUUUACAAAUUGGUUUUAUUGUCCCAUAGUUUUGACGUCGUAUUGUCGUUACAUUGUUCCUACAUAUAUAUACAAUAGGUAAAUGAUCAAAUAAUGUAUCAGAGAUAUUGUAAAAAACAUUUUUGAAAAGAGUAACGAUGGAGUUUCUUGCUCGUUCUUCUCCAUUCGAAGCAACACUUUGGAACGAGCGCCUAGCUUCACUGACAGACAGACUGACGGACAAUUCAAUUUGACGUUUCAAAAGUGCCUAAUUUAGGAUUAAUUGAAAUAAAUGCUUUGACUUUGACUUUGACUUUGACUUCAUGUUGUUGUAUAUUUUUGUUAAAAUUUUUAGAUUUUGUUAAUGUUGUUUAAUAUACAUAUUUUUGGUA